rnacentral:rRNA from 1 species
GACGAACCGAGCGAACGUUAUUCGGAAUCACUGGGCUUAAAGGGCGCGUAGGCGGGCGGCCAAGUCAGGGGUGAAAGCCCCCAGCUCAACUGGGGAAGUGCCUCUGAUACUGGUCAUCUCGAGGGAGAUAGGGGCGUGCGGAACUUCCGGUGGAGCGGUGAAAUGCGUAGAUAUCGUAAGGAAGACCAGUGGCGAAGGCGGAUCUCUGGACAGCUACUGACACUGAGGCACGAAGGCCAGGGGAGCAAACGGG